AGUAACGCGUGGGAAUGUACCUCUUGCUACGGGAUAGCUCCGGGAAACUGGAAUUAAUACCGUAUGUGCCCUUCGGGGGAAAGAUUUAUCGGCAAGGGAUCAGCCCGCGUUGGAUUAGCUAGUUGGUGGGGUAAAGGCCUACCAAGGCGACGAUCCAUAGCUGGUCUAAGAGGAUGAUCAGCCACAUUGGGACUGAGACACGGCCCAAACUCCUACGGGAGGCAGCAGUGGGGAAUAUUGGACAAUGGGCGCAAGCCUGAUCCAGCCAUGCCGCGUGAGUGAUGAAGGCCCUAGGGUUGUAAAGCUCUUUCAGUGGGGACGAUAAUGACGGUACCCACAGAAGAAGCCCCGGCUAACUUCGUGCCAGCAGCCGCGGUAAUACGAAGGGGGCUAGCGUUGUUCGGAAUUACUGGGCGUAAAGCGCACGUAGGCGGACUUUUAAGUCAGGGGUGAAAUCCCGGGGCUCAACCCCGGAACUGCCUCUGAUACUGGAAGUCUCGAGUGUGGUAGAGGUGAGUGGAAUUGCGAGUGUAGAGGUGAAAUUCGUAGAUAUUCGCAGGAACACCAGUGGCGAAGGCGGCUCACUGGACCACAACUGA
rnacentral:rRNA from 1 species